rnacentral:misc_RNA from 1 species
GCGACUGUUUUACGUGCGCAUCAUCAAGUUUGCCCCAAUUGCUUAGAGAGCAUCAUUGGGCUUGGUUUGGUUUCUGUGUUGGCUACCUACUUGGAAGAGAGUGUCCCUUAAUAUUUGUCUUUGUAUCGGCUUGCACCCUUUUAKKGGGAAUGCUCGCUGAUCUUAGUAAUGCUUCUCAUAUUCCAUUGUCACGCUAUCACAGUGUAGUGGUGGCAACGGCCUAUGUGUAAGUAUUCGUAAUCUUGGAUGCGGAAUGCGGAAUUGGGUAUUGGGUUGAAUAAACCUUUUAUCCCAAGCAGAGCAUCUUAUGCUCGGCACGUACGACACUAGCAAUUGCGUUGACCUUUCCCAACUUGAUUGAUGGGGGGGCUCAUGCGAUGCAAGC